rnacentral:antisense_RNA from 1 species
CAAAAAUAUUCUGUAAACGGAAAAAUGUAGAUGUAGAGAAGAACUAAGCCACAUCUGUCGAGGGCCCUGCACUUGCCAGAUCGCCUCACUCCAGCAACAACGUGGACCAUAGCAUCUCACUUCUAGAACCCUUGUCACUGUUUCAAAGGUCAUGAGCUACAAAGUUGAUUUACUGACCCAUGAAUGGGUCACAACCCGCAGUUUGGAAACAGCUGGAUGGACCCCCACCUGUGCUUUCCAGUUUCUCCUAGAGCCUCAGGGCCCCAAGAAGGCAGUGUGGUCUCUGCAGCCAGGUCCUCUCCUGGGAGAAACACUUCAACUUUUGCAAAAGAUUCAUUAAUUCAUCACCAUGGUGCCCAGAAAAAAAAACGCAAAAGAGAAGACUCAAGUUGUGGCCGACCCAAGGUGGCUGCAAACUGUUUGACAUUUUCCUCGUUGAGAGGUGGGGGUCUAAGUCCCCUCCCUUGAAAUUAGGCAGGCCCUCUGACUGCCUGACCAACAGAAAUAGCGUGGAAGCGACACUGUACCAGUUUUUGAGGCUAAGUCUGAAGAGACUGGCAGUUCCCACUUGCUGUCUUCUGGGAAUAAUUGUUCUUGAAACCUAAGUGCUAUGCUGUGAGGAUGCCAAGCAGCCUCGUUGACAGGCCCACAUUGAGCGGAACCAAACCCUGGCCAGCAGCCCCUGCUGCGCCCCUAGCUGACAGCCAGGUUCGACUUGUCUUGCAUACCAGUAUGUCAUCUUGGAGGAGGAUCCCCCAGCCCCAGUAGGGCCAUCUCAGCUGAUGCUCCAAGGAGCAGAGAUGAGCCACCCCCACCAAGCCCUGCAAGAAAGACUGCCAACUAAUCAGAAGGAAGACUUGCAAGUUGGGUUGGGUAUACUGAAAUGUAAACAUGUAGCUACUACUCUUUUUUUUUUUUUUUUGAGACGGAGUCUCGCUCUGUCACCCAGGCUGGAGUGCAGUGGCGCGAUCUCUGCUCACCGCAAGCUCCUCCUCCCGGGUUCACGCCAUUCUCCUGCCUCAGCCUCCCGAGUAGCUGGGAUUACAGGCGCCCGCCACCAUACCCAGCUAAUUUUUGUAUUUUUAGUAGAGAUGGGGUUUCAUCGUGUUAGCCAGGAUGGUCUCAAUCUCCUGACCUCAUGAUCCGCCCGCCUCAGCCUCCCAAAGUGCUGGGAUUAUAGGCGUGAGCCACUGCGCCCGGUCUAAGUUAAUAUCUUUAAAUGUGGUUUGUUAUGCAGCGAUAACAGGAACAUAAAUUAUUUGUCCCCCCAAAUCACUUUAGGGCCUAUCAUGUGCUGGAUUCAUUCGUAUAAUUAUUUGAUUUCAAUUUUUAUAACAAUUCCUUGAGGUGUAGGUAUUAUCAUCUCCACUUUCCCUAUGAGAUACUAAGACUCAGAAAGUUAAAAUAUCUUGUUUGAGGCCAACCAGCUAGGAAAGAUGAAACAGGAAUUCUGAUGCUAAAGCUCAUUCCUCUACCACUGUCAUCAUCAUCCUCAUCGUGGCUGGUGCCAAGUGCUCCUCCUUCCCUCCGGGGUCUUCAGUCACCAGU